rnacentral:misc_RNA from 1 species
AACGCAUCUUGCGCUCCUUGGUAUUCCGAGGAGCAUGCCUGUUUGAGUGUCAUUAAAUUCUCAACUACACUCAUUUGUGUAGAUUGGAUUUGGGGGGAUGGGUGUAUCAUCUUUUGCGGGCUUUGGUAAAAUAAAGUCAGCUCCCCUAAAAUUGAUUAGCGGUACCUUAGCAAGAACCAUCUACAGGUGUGAUAAUUUAUCUAAGCCUUUGGGAUGUCUGCACAGGUUAUGCUGCUUUGCAAAUAUGACCCAUGACAAUCUUGACCUCAAAUCAGGUAGGACUACCCGCUGAACUUAA